CUACCCAUGCAGUCGAACGGUAACAGGAAGCAGCUUGCUGCUUUGCUGACGAGUGGCGGACGGGUGAGUAAUGUCUGGGAAACUGCCUGAUGGAGGGGGAUAACUACUGGAAACGGUAGCUAAUACCGCAUAAUGUCGCAAGACCAAAGAGGGGGACCUUCGGGCCUCUUGCCAUCGGAUGUGCCCAGAUGGGAUUAGCUUGUUGGUGGGGUAACGGCUCACCAAGGCGACGAUCCCUAGCUGGUCUGAGAGGAUGACCAGCCACACUGGAACUGAGACACGGUCCAGACUCCUACGGGAGGCAGCAGUGGGGAAUAUUGCACAAUGGGCGCAAGCCUGAUGCAGCCAUGCCGCGUGUAUGAAGAAGGCCUUCGGGUUGUAAAGUACUUUCAGCGGGGAGGAAGGGAGUAAAGUUAAUACCUUUGCUCAUUGACGUUACCCGCAGAAGAAGCACCGGCUAACUCCGUGCCAGCAGCCGCGGUAAUACGGAGGGUGCAAGCGUUAAUCGGAAUUACUGGGCGUAAAGCGCACGCAGGCGGUUUGUUAAGUCAGAUGUGAAAUCCCCGGGCUCAACCUGGGAACUGCAUCUGAUACUGGCAAGCUUGAGUCUCGUAGAGGGGGGUAGAAUUCCAGGUGUAGCGGUGAAAUGCGUAGAGAUCUGGAGGAAUACCGGUGGCGAAGGCGGCCCCCUGGACGAAGACUGACGCUCAGGUGCGAAAGCGUGGGGAGCAAACAGGAUUAGAUACCCUGGUAGUCCACGCCGUAAACGAUGUCGACUUGGAGGUUGUGCCCUUGAGGCGUGGCUUCCGGAGCUAACGCGUUAAGUCGACCGCCUGGGGAGUACGGCCGCAAGGUUAAAACUCAAAUGAAUUGACGGGGGCCCGCACAAGCGGUGGAGCAUGUGGUUUAAUUCGAUGCAACGCGAAGAACCUUACCUGGUCUUGACAUCCACGGAAGUUUUCAGAGAUGAGAAUGUGCCUUCGGGAACCGUGAGACAGGUGCUGCAUGGCUGUCGUCAGCUCGUGUUGUGAAAUGUUGGGUUAAGUCCCGCAACGAGCGCAACCCUUAUCCUUUGUUGCCAGCGGUCCGGCCGGGAACUCAAAGGAGACUGCCAGUGAUAAACUGGAGGAAGGUGGGGAUGACGUCAAGUCAUCAUGGCCCUUACGACAGGGCUACCACGUGCUACAUGGCGCAUACAAGAAAAACGACCUCGCGAGAACAGCGGACUCAAAAGUGCUUCUAAUCCGAAUGGAAUCUGCACUCGACUCCUGAAAUCGAAUCCCUAGAAUCGGGAUCAAAUGCCCCGGUAAAACUUUCCCGGCCUUUACACCGCCGUUAACCAGGGAAGGGUUUCAAAAAAUAGGACUUACCUUCGGAGGGCUU
rnacentral:rRNA from 1 species